CAUAUUUUAGAUUGGUAUACUAGAUUAAGUGAUUCAUGUGUUGCUGACCGGUUCUGACCAUAUCUUGAUUUGAAAGUACUGGUAGGUUGUGAGCUGGGAGGGAACCCUCUUGAGUCAUAUUCAGAUUUGCGAUGGAGCACGGGCAGGCAUACAAUGUGACGGAUAAUCGCCUUCUCAAAGAGUUGGUUCUUGUAUGUUGGUAAAAAAGGCUCAGCCUUCCACCUCUCCUGCCCCCUAGCUUUCUUCUGCUCUUUUUUGUGUAUGUAUGUAUAUUGAUGAGAAGAUGGGUGACUUGUAAAAUUGCAGUUCUCUUCUUUGCGUGGCAGCUUCUCUAGCAAUAGGCGAGGAACUUCUGGAAGUGAAUUCAUAGGAUUUGGAGGCUGAUGAAAGUUUUGGGAUAAGGAUGCUAUAAAAAAAGGUAAUUUUUGGUCUUGCAUGGAUUCUGUCAUCCUUCAUUAUUCUCUAUUUUCCAUCUUUUCUUCAAGUAAUAGUGUGAAAAAAGACGAAGUGGCUUGCUUAGAGGCCAACUAGUGCUGGCGAUAACUUUAAGUUCCAUUUUUGCGCUUCAUUUAUGUAGGAGUUGCAGAAGCCGAGGUAGAAAUUUCUCUAGAGUUGGUAUUAACUAGGGUAAUCUCUUUGGACUUUCCCAUGAUGAUGUCCUUAGUCUUGGUAACAGUUAUCCAAUCAAUCAAUUAUUUAUUCUGGUCCUUUGUCUACUUUUAUUUUUCCUGAUCUUGCUACUUAUCUCUGUAUAUCUGGUGGUAAUUUGAUUCACUUGUAAACUUUUAUGCUUCAGAGGCCUGGAUCAUACUCUAUUGCUAUGUGGUGGUCUAUCGGUUGCUGCUGCAGGAAUUUCUAUACAAUAGUUUGAAUUUGAUUUUCCACUACAACUGUUCAUGAAAUACUCUUUCCUUAUAAACUUAUUACUAUUGUUUGACUACUAGAAUUAUUCCGAAUUUGUUAUUUAUAAGAUUCACUUCUAUUUAUUUGCCCCUUUUUCUUCAUA